ACCUCUCCAUCUCUCUCUGCGUCCCGCCCUUCCCCUCUUCUCUGCACCCACCUCGCUGUCUCUGGUUCUCAAUCAUCCACACACCACCCAUCACCAUGGUCGCGAACUCUGUCGCGCCCGCACGGCCGCACACGCCACCAUCCCGGAAGCGGCUGCAACCCCGGCGGAGCACCUGGAGUCCACUUCAACUCGCUGGCCGCAGCCUCCGCUCCCUCACGACGCCGCCAGUGUAUGUGCGCCGCCGCUACCGAGAUGGUCGAGUGGCAGGCCGCCACGGCCGACCUGUUCGAUAAGUCGGUGAACGCAAUAGGAUUCCUCGCCAUCGAUGCUGUCGCAACCCCACCUCCACAACGGGAUCUACCACGACGAGACGAUGGGCGACGACCAACACGACCAUGCCGACGAGCUCCGCCAUGAUGAACUGCCCAAUACUUGUUGCUGAAACUUUACCUUGGAUCUCUCUGAAUUUUCUGUUUCGCACUUGGUUAGAAAUUGAUUGAGGAACUUUUACGUGAAUAUCCAAAUGACCAAACCUGUAUGAAUGCAUUUAUGGGACUUUCUCUAGGUAUGUGAUUUAGGAUUCCAUUUGCGCAGAACUGGAUGGGUGCAUAUACAACACUUCUUUUAGAAUGUUCUUGCAGGACUUGAGUUGAUAAACAAAUAGUUGACAAAUCUUCUUUUGAUGUAGGCUAUGAUUCUGGAUUACCUUGCUAGCUAAACAACUUCCAAGGAUCUUGUGGUUAUUUCUCCUGAUGUGGGUGUUGUUGUUAGAGCACGUGCAUUUGACAAGAAAUUGUGAUGCCCUUUUAGCUACUGUUGAAAGGAGAAAGGAGUCACAAUAUGUUAGAGUCAUGCAGCUCAUCCCCUUGAUUGGUGAUCUGAAGGGGGGAGUUUCUAUUAUGGCUGAUGACAUGAAUGACACAGCAGGAAAUUGGUGAUGUCAAGGGUGAGCUUAGUGCAGAUAGUCCACACAAUAUAGUGCCUUUGUUGUUGAAUCUUUCUUGUGACUAUGCAAACUGAAACACAACGGCUGAAAUCCUGACAUUUGUUCUUCAUUUCUGCUAAGCGUAACUGUUUGAGUUAUAUUACAA